AUUCAACUGACGAGUCCUGAAUAGGACGAAACGUGCAUCCUGGAU
rnacentral:hammerhead_ribozyme from 1 species